CCGUCUCUCUUGGCCAUCGGAUCCUCGGGUCCUCGGUCCGAUUUUCUUUUGUCGCCCUCCUGUGGUCGACCCCCUUUCAAAAAUCCUCAUUGGUCGGCCCUCUUUGUCGCCAAAAAAAGUCCUCCUAAAAUCAAAAAAAAAGAAAUCUGGAAAAAAAAGAGGGCGUCUCUUGUGCGCACAAGGCGCCCUUUUUCUUGCCUGCAAAAAAAGGUGGGACGUGCCCAAGUUGGCGGUGCCGCGCAAAAAAGGACGACAAAAAGGCCUGUGGCGACGACGCCGACGACGACGUCGACGCCGACGACGACGUCGACGACGACGACGACGACAGUGAAAAGAGACGGUCCAGGCCAUUGCGAGCGACGACGACCCCGGACACAAUUGGGGGCGAGAAGAAAGGCGAGCCUCGGCACUUGCCGUCUUUUUUUUUCCUCUGACGAUGGUCGCGACCACGCGCACAGCAUGCCCGACAAGCCCUCAAGCACGACUAGACGGCGUGCCGGCCUCGUUGCCAAAGGCCAACCCGAAAGCGCACAAACACCUGGCCGCUUGCUGGCGACGACCGACACUAUGCACACCGGUCGAUCCAUCAAGACAAAGAGAAAGAGGACACGUCAACCGACCGGUCGACCGUCACGACAUGAAGGAGCAGCAUGCCGGUGACGCCGACGGCGACCGCCAAAGAGGCGAAAGAAAAACAGACAAGAAAGCGACACAUAAUAAUAAUAAUAAAAGAAAUGCG
rnacentral:lncRNA from 1 species